rnacentral:rRNA from 1 species
AGCUAACGCAUUAAGCUCCCCGCCUGGGGAGUACGAUCGCAAGAUUAAAACUCAAAGGAAUCGACGGGGCCCCGCACAAGCAGCGGAGCAUGCGGCUUAAUUCGACGCAACGCGAAGAACCUUACCAAGGCUUGACAUAUACAGGAAUACGGCAGAGAUGUCGUAGCCGCAAGGUCUGUAUACAGGUGGUGCAUGGUCGUCGUCAGCUCGUGUCGUGAGAUGUUGGGUUAAGUCCCGCAACGAGCGCAACCCUCGUUCUGUGUUGCCAGCAUUUAGUUGGGGACUCACAGGAGACUGCCGGGGUUAACUCGGAGGAAGGUGGGGAUGACGUCAAAUCAUCAUGCCCCUUAUGUCUUGGGCUGCACGCAUGCUACAAUGGCUGGUACAAACGGCUGCGAUACCGCAAGGUGGAGCGAAUCCGAUAAAGCCAGUCUCAGUUCGGAUUGGGGUCUGCAACUCGACCCCAUGAAGUCGGAGUUGCUAGUAAUCGUAGAUCAGCAACGCUACGGUGAAUACGUUCCCGGGGCUUGUACACACCGCCCGUCACAUCACGAAAGUCGGUAACACCCAAAGUCAGUGCCCAACC